GUCGAACGGUAGCACAGAGAGCUUGCUCUCGGGUGACGAGUGGCGGACGGGUGAGUAAUGUCUGGGAAACUGCCUGAUGGAGGGGGAUAACUACUGGAAACGGUAGCUAAUACCGCAUAAUGUCGCAAGACCAAAGAGGGGGACCUUCGGGCCUCUUGCCAUCAGAUGUGCCCAGAUGGGAUUAGCUAGUAGGUGGGGUAACGGCUCACCUAGGCGACGAUCCCUAGCUGGUCUGAGAGGAUGACCAGCCACACUGGAACUGAGACACGGUCCAGACUCCUACGGGAGGCAGCAGUGGGGAAUAUUGCACAAUGGGCGCAAG
rnacentral:rRNA from 1 species